UACGUAGGUGGCAAGCGUUACUCGGAAUCACUAGGCGUAAAGCGCAGGUAGGCGGUUUGGUAAGUCUGUUGUGAAAGCUCCCGGCUUAACUGGGAGAGGUCAACGGAAACUACCAGGCUGGAGUGUGGUAGAGGUAGCUGGAAUUCCCGGUGUAGCGGUGAAAUGCGUAGAUAUCGGGAGGAAUACCUAUGGCGAAAGCAGGCUACUGGACCAUCCCUGACGCUGAUCUGCGAAAGCGAGGGGAGCAAACAGG
rnacentral:rRNA from 1 species